ensembl:lncRNA
GAACAAGGAGCUGCAUUAGAAAUGGGUUUCCCAUUCAUAAAUAUAUGAUAAGCAUUGUUUGGAAGAGGCUUCUUUUUUCAUGAACAGCUAGAGUCAGAAGGGAACAAAAGCUUCAAAUGAAAACCCACCGGGCUUAAGGAGACUGACACAACCCAUUAGGAGAAUGACAUUUUUCUUCCUGAGAUAGUAUAUUGUCACUUGACAGAAAUUAAGAGAAGAAAUAAAAAAUGCAUUUUAUGUACUGUGGCAAUACAUUUGUAUUGGUGAAGUUUUAGUGGAAAUAUCAUAUCUCACAAAAAUAGAAUACAAUAACGGGUGAAAUUAUUUGCAGGCAUUGGAGCUAUUAAUAACGUGGACUCAGGUUGUCACCACUCUGGAAAAAAAGUCAAAGAUGAGAUAUUGCAUGAACGCAUUUGCAAGAGCUCUCCCUGUCCAUUUCCUCUCUCCAGGUAUGGAGUUUUCUGUGCAACGUGGAACUAGGAUGGAUCAGGCAGAAAUUGGAGCUGGAUAAGUUUUCAGUGGUACAGGCAUUGCAAGGUAUAAGCAGAAAAGCCACAGGAAGCCUAACACAGCAUGAAUGUUACUCGAUGAACCCUGACACGACAGUGGGAUGCUGGAGGACAAGGAUUUUAAGUCUUGAUUCUAAACACUAAAGGCAGUUACAGAAGUCUCAAGGACAAAGGUCUCUUCAACUUUAUGUGCUCUGCUUCGUGAUCCCAUUGCCGCUGAUAGUGCGCUGGGAAGUGACAGAAAGUCCACAGGCUGAAAACAAAACCUCCAGAAGUGUGCAAGCUGCUGAGACCGGAUUCCUCUGUCCCUGUUUGCCUCCCUUUCCAUCAUAUGAUGGUGUUCAGGAGGAUCGUGGCAGUGAUGGGGAUAGUGGCAAACAGCAAGAGCAUCCUGUUCCUUCUUCCACUGCCUCCAAAUAGUAGUAAAAUGCAUUAAUUAUGCAACAUCCUCGGGAGUAAAUAUUGUAAAUUAAUGUACCAUUAGAUUUGUUAUACUUCAGAUACUAAUAGCUUCUGUUACAAAGUACAUUAAAACCCACAGCAGUAAUGUCUGUGGCAGCCUGGAUAUCAGUAAGCUCAUAUUACAUUUAUAACAACAGCUUUUCUUCUGUUUCCUUUUUUGUAUAGAAUAUGUUUGACGCUUUAUUUUUGUAUUGUGGUUCAGGGAGUCUUUUAGUGAAGCCUCAUGGCUAAUUUUGGGGGACUGAAGACAUUCAGACAUUACAAGCCUGAUCAUGCCAGCCACCUGCUGCAUCUACAUGACAGAAACAGGGAGGUGGUAUCAGUCUGUAUUUGCCACUUUCCUUUUGUGACUUGUGUGUGAGAGUCAGAAGAAACAUCCAUAUGGCUCAUAUGUGCAUGACAGAUCAGCA